UCUGCUCUGCCCAGGACAGAAGUUGAUUUUCAUUCUUGGGGUUGGGCUGAUGUGUUCUUUCUAGUUUAUUUAUUAAAGGCCCCUUAGACAUGCUGACUGUCAAGACCAGAAUAGAUCUGUUACACAUGGAAGGAAGAGUGCUUCAAGAGCUCCAUAAAUCACUGUGUUCCAGCCAGCGGAUGGGUCUCUUUUAGGUACCUAUUCCCCGGAUUGAAUCACGUCCUCAACGAGCCCUCUCCAUGAUCCCCUGCUAGCUUCUGACAUAUGAAUCACGCUGCCUGGUUAACUAAUGGAUGGACCCCUUCAAAAAAGUCUGGUUCUCUACAUUUACCAGUUGAGGGAAGGGACAAUAGAUAAUAGGCACUGGACCUCGCAACAGAUGUGAUAGGAUGAGAUCCAGAGGGGAUAACAGGAAUUAGGGGGUAGGAUUCACAUGAACUCUGGAUCACUGACACACGUGUACAUGAGAUCAGCAUUCUCAGUAGGUUGCCCUAAGAAUUGGAUUUUUGUUUCUGUGACACAAUAAGCAGGGGAGCCAAGCACUGAGGAUUAUGCACCAUGCUGCAUCCAUAAAGGGUCCAUAUGUGUCUGAUUUCUCCUGGAGGCCUCAGCAGAGGAUAUGAGAAGAGAAUUCCAGGGGGAGGGAGAUGACCUUUGAGCUCAGCUUCCUAUCACGCACUCUGGCGCUGCCAGUGUCCAUGCUUCGUCCAAUACCCUCCAUUCGUGACUCAGAGAGAAGCAGAGAAGGAAGAGGUAGCUGAGUUCCGCAAUCAGAGGCAUGGCUGCAGGUAUGAGCUACUGGGACUCAGGAAUGAUCUUCCACUUGGCACGCUGCCUGUCUGGCUUCACUCCCAUCACAGAGAUAGGGGCACUGCCUCCCCUCCAGCCAUUUUAUUCCCAAUACUGCCUGCCUCCUUCCUGGCAGGAGAAGGGAUAAAGGGUCGCAGAUGUUCUUGGAGCAUGAACUGGACUGCAGUUUGCCACUCAGCUCCCUAAAGGGUGAAAACCUGGAGCCACUGGAGCCAAGAUUUUACCCAUGAUCUUCAUGCCUUCUUCCACAUUGCCCCCUAUCCUUGGAAUGGUCAUCAUGUUUUCAUGAAUCACAUUAUCCUGCCUCUUCUUCAAAUGUCUCAACAUUCUGCUCUUCUACAACACCUUUUAAAAGUGAACCCUGCAAAAUUCCAACACCAACCUGAAGUGCCUGAUUUAUUGAUUUUUUUAGCUGGGUGUGAAAUAACAAAUAUUAAGUUCCUUGG